CUGUCACAGUUAACCAAUGAAAAGAUACAGAAGGGUCAAGAGAAGUUCAAACAAAGCAAACCUGACAAAACUCAGUCCUUGCACAUUCAGAACAAAGCUUAUGGAAAAUUACUGAGAGUGGCAAUACCAUAUUCCAGGGCUGCAUGUUUCAGCUGCAAAGGUCUGGAGCAGGUACAAGACCUCAAGUGAAAGGAAAUGUGUAUCACACUGGUGUGUCUCAUUACAGUGUGUUCUUCAGGGAUGGAGAUGCAGUGGUCAUGGCAGAACCUGGAAAAUGGAAGGAGAAGACUGAGGGAUGACUCUACUCAGUUGGGACAAUAUCUAACAGGAUGAGCUCUGCAGGGUUUUUGUACAACACCAGCUGGAAGCCGAAUGAGCAAUUAAUGAUCACACAAUGUUUUGAAGUUGUAGAAUGUAAUUUAUUGCCCAAAGUAGCCCUUUGGAGGGAGAAAUGGUCUUAAGAUUCUGUGCAUUCACUGACCUUUCUAAAGACCAUAUAACAAACUAAAAGGAUAACGAAGGAAAGGUAGUUUACAGAGUGAGGUAUUUUCUGCUGCAGAGCUGCUCAACAGCACCAGAAGGGUCACUCUCUUCAUUCUGUUCUGGAAUAAAAGCAUACUUUGUGAAGGAAUUCACCUUUAAAGGGA